rnacentral:rRNA from 1 species
ACUGAACGCUGGCGGCGUGCUUAACACAUGCAAGUCGAUCGGUAACGCGGGGGCAACCCUGGCGACGAGAGGCGGACGGGUGAGGAACGCUUGGGAAUCUGCCUAUCAGCGGGGGACAACCCGGGGAAACUCGGGCUAAUACCGCAUACGCUCUACGGAGGAAAGCCGGGGACCGCAAGGCCUGGCACUGAUAGAUGAGCCCAAGUCGAAGUAGCUAGUUGGCGGGGUAACGGCCCACCAAGGCGACGAUCCGUAGCUGGUCUGAGAGGACGAUCAGCCACACUGGGACUGAGACACGGCCCAGACUCCUACGGGAGGCAGCAGUGGGGAAUAUUGGACAAUGGGGGAAACCCUGAUCCAGCGACGCCGCGUGGGUGAAGAAGGCCUGCGGGUUGUAAAGCCCUUUCGGUAGGGACGAAAGCUCUCGACCUAACACGUCGGGAGGUUGACUUAACCUACAAAAGAAGCACCGGCUAACUCUGUGCCAGCCGCCGCAGUAACAC